rnacentral:rRNA from 1 species
GAUGAACGCUGGCGGCGUGCCUAAUACAUGCAAGUCGAGCGAACGGACGAGAAGCUUGCUUCUCUGAUGUUAGCGGCGGACGGGUGAGUAACACGUGGAUAACCUACCUAUAAGACUGGGAUAACCUCGGGAAACCGUAGCUAAUACCGGAUAAUAUUCUGAACCGCAUGGUUCAAAAGUGAAAGACGGUCUUGCUGUCACUUCUAGCUGGAUCUGAGCUGCAUUAGCUAGUUGGUAAGGUAAAGGCUUACCAAGGCAACUAGGCAUAGCCGACCUGAGAGAGUGGUCGGCCGCAUGAGAGCGUGAACACGGACCAGAGGCCUACGGUAGGCAGCAGAAGGGUAUCUUCCGCAGUAGUCGAGAGCAUUGCAGAACGGCGCCACGUGAGAGGUGGAAGUGUUCGGAGCGGGAAACUCUGUUAUUGGUGGUAAACAGAUGUGUAAGGAACUGAACACAGCGUGACGGUACCGAGUCAGAAAGCCACGGCUAACUACGUG